GUCGAGCGGAUCGAUGGGAGCUUGCUCCCUGAGAUCAGCGGCGGACGGGUGAGUAACACGUGGGUAACCUGCCUGUAAGACUGGGAUAACUCCGGGAAACCGGGGCUAAUACCGGAUAAUUUAGUUCCUCGCAUGAGGAACUGUUGAAAGGUGGCUUUUCGCUACCACUUACAAAGGGACCCCCGGCGCAUUACCUAUUUGGUGAGGUAACGGCUCACCAAGGCACCGAUGCUUACCCAACCUGAAAGGGUGAUCGGCCACACUGGGACUGAAACACGGCCCAAACUCCUACGGGAGGCACCAUUAGGGAAUCUUCCCCAAUGGACAAAAUUCUGACGGACCACCCCCCCGGGAUUGAAAAAGGUUUUCGAAUCGUAAAACUCUGUGGUUAGGGAAGACCAAUUGCCGUUCAAAUAGGGCGGCCCUUGACGGUACCUAACCAAAAAGCAACGGCUAACUACGUGCCACCACCCGCGGUAUACUUAGGUGGCAGGCGUGUCGGAAUUAUGGGCGUAAGCGCGCGCAGGUGUUUCUAGGUCUGAUGUGAAGCCACGCUCAACGUUGAAGGUUCAUGGAACCUGGACCUGG
rnacentral:rRNA from 2 species